GGGGAAUAUUGCACAAUGGAGGAAACUCUGAUGCAGCAACGCCGCGUGAGUGAUGAAGGUCUUCGGAUUGUAAAGCUCUGUCUUCUGGGACGAUAAUGACGGUACCAGAUGAGGAAGCCACGGCUAACUACGUGCCAGCAGCCGCGGUAAUACGUAGGUGGCAAGCGUUGUCCGGAAUUACUGGGCGUAAAGGGUGCGCAGGCGGACAUUUAAGUGAGAUGUGAAAGACCCGGGCUUAACUUGGGCAGUGCAUUUCAAACUGGAUGUCUGGAGUGCAGGAGAGGAGAACGGAAUUCCUAGUGUAGCGGUGAAAUGCGUAGAGAUUAGGAAGAACACCAGUGGCGAAGGCGACUCUCUGGGCUGUAACUGACGCUGAGGCGCGAAAGCGUGGGGAGCAAAC
rnacentral:rRNA from 1 species